rnacentral:rRNA from 1 species
AAUCAACGCUGGCGGCGUGCCUCAGACAUGCAAGUCGAACGAUUAAAGCUCCCUUCGGGGAGUGCAUAAAGUGGCGCACGGGUGAGUAACACGUAAGUAAUCUACCUUCGAGUGGGGAAUAACGUUCGGAACGAACGCUAAUACCGCAUAAUGCAGCGGCAUCUAUGAUGACAGUUGCUAAAGAUUUAUCGCUUGAAGAGGAGCUUGCGGCAGAUUAGCUAGUUGGUAAGGUAAUGGCUUACCAAGGCUACGAUCUGUAUCCGGUCUAAGAGGACGGUCGGACACACUGACACUGAAUAACGGGUCAGACUCCUACGGAGGCAGCAGUCGGGAAUUUUGGGCGAAUGGGCGAAAGCCUGACCCAGCAACGCCGCGUGAA